rnacentral:rRNA from 1 species
AACGAACGCUGGCGGCGUGCCUAACACAUGCAAGUCGAACGGAGAUAAGGGGCUUGCUCCUUAUUUUAGUGGCGCACGGGUGAGUAACGCGUGGAUAAUCUGCCUGAUACUCUGGGAUAACAUUUCGAAAGGGGUGCUAAUACCGGAUAAGCCCACGGACUCUUCGGAGUUUGCGGGAAAAGGAGGGGACCUUCGGGCCUUCCGAUAUCAGAUGAGUCCGCGUCCCAUUAGCUAGUUGGUAGGGUAAAGGCCUACCAAGGCGACGAUGGGUAGCUGGUCUGAGAGGAUGAUCAGCCACACUGGAACUGAGACACGGUCCAGACUCCUACGGGAGGCAGCAGUGGGGAAUUUUGCGCAAUGGGGGAAACCCUGACGCAGCAACGCCGCGUGAGUGAUGAAGGCCCUUGGGUCGUAAAGCUCUGUCAGAGGGAAAGAAAUGUGGGCGGCUAAUAUCCGUUCCACUUGACGGUACCCUCAAAGGAAGCACCGGCUAACUCCGUGCCAGCCGCCGCCGUAAGAC